ensembl:snRNA U2 U2 spliceosomal RNA
AUUGCUUCUCAGCCUUUUGGCUAAGAUCAAGUGCAGGAUCCGUUCUUAUCAGUUUAAUAUCUGAUACAUCCUCUAUCCGAGGACAAUAUAUUAAAUGGAUUUUUGGAGCUGGGAGCUGGUAUAGGAGCUUGCUCCAUCCACUCCACGCAUUGACCUGGUACUGCAAUGCUUCCAGAAAUGAUGCACCCCUC